rnacentral:misc_RNA from 1 species
GGACUUGAAUUCCAGCAGAACUGACUUGUCAAGAAGCACUCCCCCGUAAAUUGAAGUGCAAAACCAGAGAAGAAGGAAUAUAAGAACUUCUGGAAAUGAAUUUCUUCUCAUUUCCUCAAGAAAUGACGACAAAGAACGAAAACCCAGUGAGCCCAAAACCCUUCUUCUACAACUCACAAAGCAAGAAUUUCUUGGUCUCUUCAUUCUUCUUCUUCUCCUCU